CUUGAUCGAUCCCAGCCACAACGGCGCAUCCGGGGUGUGGUCGCGACCGUAGGUGGCUAACAGGGCUUGGGCCUC
rnacentral:antisense_RNA from 1 species